AGAUGAACCAUCUCGGUGGUGGCUGUGCUUUGCAAGAAGGAUACGCUUCAUUCUGUGCAAGAAUAAAACACUACUUGUAAAACAGAGUAUAAUUUGAAAGGCACAAAACAAAAUCUAUUAUCUUAACCUUCCUGUCUGUGCACAAGAGAUGUUGGUGAUGUGUUAAGGGCUAGGAAUGUGCUGUGGAAACAAUUCUAAAUUUAAACAGUUGAGUUUGGGCUUUAUGUCUGAAGACAACUGAAUACAGGCAGAUCUGAUCCCAUGCGUAACUUGAAGGACAAAAGCACUGCUUCCUAAAUGAAGGCAUUGGGAAGUAAUGUAUUUAACUAUCACAAUAGCAAUAUAAACUGUUGAUUAAAUGAAUUUGCCACAUUUUUCUACAUGAUUCUCAAGACCAGUUUCUAAUUUUCAUGAUGAUGAUCUCCGGAAGGACUCACAAAAAUUGUGGAGCAAUGUUGCAGUAAAAUGACCCUGGGGACCUAUCAGCAGAAUAGUGGACUUCAGGAAAACAUCUUGGAACAGCAGCAGAAGCAGAAGCAGCAGCAGCCAUUCCUGUUACACUACAAAAGAAAUCCAUAACCUGUGCCAGCUACAGAAAAACAUAGCAUCUGUUGAUCACUGGGGGAGCUGGGGAAGAAAACUUAAAAUCCAUGUAUCUCUGCUGUCUUCUGUUUCCCUUCAGAGCUCCAGGUGUGUGGUCCCGGGACGGGGACGGACCGUGCCAUCCAUCUGGGACUGGCACAGCUGCAUCAACAUCUCAGCCAUGGGGAAGAAGAAGAGCUGGGUGUCACUUGAACAAGGGCAGGCUGUAUGGGGCUGUCCGACUGGCAGUGCCCACGGAAACACAGGCCUUUUGACACGGGGCCUGUGACAUGCUACAAGAUGAGCUGGCAGUUUCUGUAUGCCAGGAUGAUGGUGGAUCCUAAACACCCAGGCCCUUCCUCACCAGGUGUCACUAUCCUGGUUCCUCUGAGGUCUGCACCAGCUCAGCGCAUAGCUCAAUCCACGUUACUCCACUAAAUGUGAAAACAAAAUCAGGGGCCAAAUCCUGCCUAGAUUUUACCCCUGGUUUGAUGUAGCUCAGCAGUGAAUCUGUGUGAAAGUCUGUGCUCAGCUCGGGAGCUGAGGUGACAGUUUAACAAGUAGAUCAAACAAUUACACAAUUUUGAUAAUGCAAUGUCUGUGUUCAGUUCUCUUAAAAUUAGCAACAUCACAAUUAUUUUCUGCACUAAAAGCCAUCCUGCAGCAGAUAAUUUUGCUUGACUUCUUCAUCAGCUAAGCAAAACCUCCAACUGUGAAAAAAUGUAUUUUCAGCAGAGUACUGAUUUUUCUCCUGCAAUCUCCCCUCCUCCCCRUUUAUUCCUUCUUUUCUUCUCUACCAUCAAUCUUUAAAGCAUGCCACUGUGCAUUCACAUUUUUCUUUCUGCACGUGUCAGCUCAACGCUCUUCCUCAGAGUCCUCUUUCUCCGCCAAAUCCCGCAAAGCAGACUUUAACCACUCAUUUCCCGAACUGGGAAUUCCACACACAACUUCGCAGAAGCCAGGCUCUCCGGGCGCUUCCCAGCCACUGUGCUGGAAUCCCCCCUUCCCUCCAACAACCCACGGCUAUGGACAAAAGAGCAAGUAAAAGGAAACUGACUUACUGCUAUGGCUUGGAGCCUUUCCUUGUGCAACUCUGCUUCC